rnacentral:rRNA from 1 species
UACGAGGGGGGCUAGCGUUGUUCGGAAUCACUGGGCGUAAAGGGCGCGUAGGCGGCUUUAUAAGUCGGGGGUGAAAGCCUGUGGCUCAACCACAGAAUUGCCUUCGAUACUGUAGAGCUUGAGACCGGAAGAGGUAAGUGGAACUGCGAGUGUAGAGGUGAAAUUCGUAGAUAUUCGCAAGAACACCAGUGGCGAAGGCGGCUUACUGGUCCGGUUCUGACGCUGAGGCGCGAAAGCGUGGGGAGCGAACAGG